GCAGCAGCCACCCAGAGAAAGCUGCUGGAAUGUACUGUUGCUAAACUGCAAGGUGAACUGGAAACAGCUUUGCAAGAAAGGGGAUCUCUGCUGGCUGAAAAGGAAAAUCUUAAACAGGAGCUAGAAAUGGCUUCAAUGAAAUCCUCUCUGCAGACACUAGCAGAAGAAAAUAAAAGGCUAUUGAAUCGUUUGGCUGCAUUGGAACACCAGCAACAUGCCCAGCAGAAGGUGCAACAGGUCCUAGAGGAGCUGACUAACAGCAAGAAUAAACUGGCCUAUGACAAAGGAAAACUUGAG